rnacentral:lncRNA from 1 species
ACCUCUGUGAACCCUGCGUAUCCACCACUGCUUUUCUCUUCAUCAAGCUGCAGUGCAAAGUCCAUUCCAAAGCUCUGGAAGAUUGUGCUGUAGAAGCAAAAGCAGCUGCUACCGGGGAGAUAAAUGGGACCUGGAAGACCCCAGCAGUUCUGUGGAAGAGAGCAGUGUGUGCUGACAUCUGAGCAUGUCUCUGGGGGAGUGUCCCUUACAAACUUCCAUGGGAUUGAAGAGAAAGCCCAGAACACUGAUGCUCUUCAGAGGACCCAGGUUCAAUUCCCAGCCCUCACACGGGAGAAUCAAUCACGCCGACUCUUCUGUAGAACUUAACGAGCAGAGACACAACCAUGGGGAAGAACAUGACUGGGAGCCUGUCCCUG